GGGCGCAAGCCUGAUCCAGCAAUGCCGCGUGCAGGAUGAAGGCCUUCGGGUUGUAAACUGCUUUUGUACGGAACGAAACGGUCUACUNUAAUACAGUGGGCUAAUGACGGUACCGUAAGAAUAAGCACCGGCUAACUACGUGCCAGCAGCCGCGGUAAUACGUAGGGUGCGAGCGUUAAUCGGAAUUACUGGGCGUAAAGCGUGCGCAGGCGGUUAUAUAAGACAGAUGUGAAAUCCCCGGGCUCAACCUGGGACCUGCAUUUGUGACUGUAUAGCUAGAGUGCGGCAGAGGGGGAUGGAAUUCCGCGUGUAGCAGUGAAAUGCGUAGAUAUGCGGAGGAACACCGAUGGCGAAGGCAAUCCCCUGGGCCUGCACUGACGCUCAUGCACGAAAGCGUGGGGAGCAAACAGGAUUAGAUACCCUGGUAGUCCACGCCCUAAACGAUGUCAACUGGUUGUUGGGUCUUCACUGACUCAGUAACG
rnacentral:rRNA from 1 species